CGCUUUCAUCCGUGACUUUAGA
rnacentral:miRNA from 1 species